AAACUUAAUAAGAGUGAAAAAGGUGUCAAAAGCCAAUUUAGACUUUUCUUCUUAUGAAACCUUUAUAAAAAAAUAAAAAAAUAAAAAAAAAUUUAAUGGUCACAUAUAUGGCAAAGGGUGGCCGGCCAUGUGGUAUUUUAGAGUGGUGUGAACCCAAUUUUAUAAAGUUUAACUCCCAUUUUAAUUAAGAAGUCAAGUGGGUGGGCAAGUGGGUAGAAAAGCACUCAAGUGUUUUGUGAUAUUUUGAAGAGUUGUGUGAGCCAUUCUAACCCCCAAAUCCGACCACUCUCCCUCUCUCAUUCACUCUCAUCUGAUUUUUUGAAGACUCUCUCAAGUGUUCUCUCCAUUUUCAACCCCAAGAACACCAAAGAAACUUGGAAGCUAAGUCUUGGUCUAGGAAGGGUUUUCCCUAAGUUGGUUAGGGUUUUUGAAAGGUUUUGGAGGAGCCAAAGCUAAUAGGAAGGUCAAAACCUUAAACAAGAACACCAAAGAGUAUUGGCUAAGCGUAACUGGACUGAACGUUGGAGGGUGAAAACCUGCUGAGCGCUAAGGACUCCAAGUAAGUGCAAGGGCAAGGCAGAGCAGUGAGCGCUGGAGUCUUCCUUGCAAAUGUACAUGUGGACCGACCUUUUGGGAAGCCUUUUUAUUUUUGGAAAUGUUGUGUAAUUUUCCUAAACUAGGCUCACUCUAAUCUUUAUAAAACAUGUUUGUAACUAAAUGUUAAGUAUGGCCAUACGACUUUUUAAAAAGUUUUUUUUUUCUAUGGGUUUUUGAGACAUUUUGUUAAAUGAAAACAUUUAUA